AUGUCAAUGGGCCUGGGCAGGGCCCAGCCUGGACGCGUUCGUGAUGGGAAGGGCAGGGAGAUGCACCACAGCCCCUUCCCUGGCCCCUCAUCCCCGAGGCUCCUCACUCCCCAUCAGCUGGGCGCUCCCCGGCUCCUGUGCCAGGCUGGGCUUGCCCAGGGAUUUGGGCUCCUCCCGCGCUCCACUCUGGCACCAAUGGGAUUUUUCCAAAGCUGCUUCCACACAACCAGCCCGGGGAGCAAGGGGGGGUGGAGGGAUGCGGGGUGGGGGGGGACUCGUGGCCCCGUGGGCGGGUGUUUGAGCCCAGGGACCAUUUCCCGGUUGUAUCAAUUCGGUGGAAGACUAAAACAGCGUUUGCCAAAAGGUGGGAGCAAAAGUAGCCUGCUCAGGAGGACAGUCUUGCUUGGGCAGGACACAGACCCUGGGCAGCGUCCACGGGAUGAGCCCACCCUGCCCGCUGAUGGUCCGGAGUGGGCAGGAGCCAGCCUGGCGUGAGAGGGCUGGAGGGCCAGGGGAUGCUCCCUGCCCCGGGGUGGCCCUGCAGAGGGUGGGAUGUGCUGCCAGGGCCCCCACACCCCACCUGUGCUUCACCAGCCCCUGCUGCCUUGGCAUGAAUGCAGCAGUAGCAGGUCGGGGCACAGUUCCACUCAGGUCAUGGAAGAUUUAGAACCAACAAAACAAAUGCUUUAAGGAAUUCUCCUUUUUCUUUUGCUAUUUAAUCCCUUAUUGCACGACACAAUCUGCUUUUCCCAGACCAAAAAUCAACCAUAAAAGAAGGUUUUUUGUAGCUUUUUUCAAUACAUGAAGGGAUUUCCAUCUUUUACCCUGCGAGCAGCAAAAAGGGAAGGGAGGGAGGAAGGGAGGGAGGAAGGGAGGGAGGGGAGCUGCAGCACAGCCUGCAGAGGUGGUGGAGCCUGGGAGGAGGGAGCUGCCUCUGAAGCAGGGUGACAUCAAGCCAGGUCUUCGUGGGGAGAGGUGGAGCAGGACCCGGUGGCCCUCGGGGUGCUGUGCCCCAGCAGCACACAGGUCACUGGGGGAUGCACACGCGUGUGCUCAGCUUGGCAAGCACGAGCAUGGAUGUGCCCAAGACGGGGGAUGGACAUCCCGGGAAAGGACAUCCCCAAGAGAUCCCCCCCAGACAGGGGUCUCUGCGGGCAGGGCUCUGGGCUGGCUCCAGGACAGGGCCGUCUUGGCUUCCCAUGGUGGCACCUUCUCCACCACAGGUGCUGGGAUGUGGCACCACUGCUCUGAGCAGCUCUUCUCUCUUCUUCCCACUGAUGAAGACACCGCUCCAGGGGACCCACGAUGGACACAUUCCCUUGGGCCUCACUGAGCACCUGGCAGAGGGUGACAGUGCGACCCAGCCCCACAUCACAGAAGGGCACAGAGCUGUGCUGGGGAAAUUCCAUGCUCACCACACCUUGGACCAGCAGCACAUAAAUGGAGCAAUUCGGUCUCCAAAACUCCAAAGGUGACCUUGGGCUCUGCUGGGAUGGUGGAGAGACACAGGGAGAGCAGAAGAACUUUCAGAGACCUUGGCCAGCCUGAUGGCCAUGGCACAGUGAUGGUUCCACCUGGUUCUUUCUCGGUCACCACCAUUGCUUGGAAACACCUUCCUCUGUCACGGAGCAGUGAUGUGCUGGGCUUCUGAUUUCCCAUCUGGCAAGGACCAAAUGAAGCACUGGUGGAACUUCAGGGUGCUCUGAGGUCCCCAGGGUUGUCACCCACACCUGCCCCUGCACCUCCUGUCUGAAGGCCUAUCCCUGUCCCCUGCCCACAGACACCAGUAACCCCUGGGGCUCAGCUACAGGAUUCAACCAGGGGGAAGGAACUUGUGCAGUGCCCUGUGGGGUACCCCGGCGUGGAUGCCCCUGGGUGGGAGUCCCAAGGUUGGUGUCCCCGGGUGGGUGUCCCCAGGUGAGCAUCUCUGGAUGGGUGUCCCUGGGCGGGUGUCUCCAGUGGGUGUCCCUGGUGGGUGUCCGUGGGGGGAAUGUGCCCAGGUGGGUGUCCCCGGGACUGGUUGUCCCCAUGUGGGUGCCCGUGGCUGGGUGUCCCCGAGGGUGCCCCUGUGCGGGUGCAGCUCCGCGGGGGGGGUUCCGCGGGGCCGGGCGGGUGCGGGGGCUCCGGGGCUCCCCCUGUCCCUGCUCCCUCCCGCCGGGGGCCGUGUCCGGGAGCGG
rnacentral:lncRNA from 13 species